CUGGAAGCCGAAGGAGCUGAUGAGUUUACCAAGGGAGGCAGUGUAGAUUGAGGACAAUGGGGGACCAAGGACAGACCCUUGAGGAGCACCAACAGAGAGGGAUUGGGGAGAAGAGGCAGAGCCAAAGAAAGAAACACUAAAUGAGCACUGGGAGAGGUAGGAAGAGCACCAGGAGAGAGCAGUAUCUCGUAGACAGAGAUCACAAAGGAUGGGAAGAAGCUGUGAUGAUCAAUAGUGUCAAAAGCAGUAGAGAGGUCGAGGACAAUUAGGAUAGAAUAGUGGCCAUGGGAUUUAGCAGUGAUGAGAUCAUUGUAUACUUUGGUCACAGCUGUUUCAACAGAGUGACAAGCACGGAAUCCAGAUUGAAGCGGGUCAAACAGAGAGUUGGAUUCGAGGACGUCUGUCAAUCUCGCUUACACAACUCACUCAAGGAUCUAGGAGACAAAUUGCAAUAGCGAGAUGGGGUGGUAGUUGGACGGGAAAUUAGGGUCAAGGUUGGGCUUAUUCAGAAUUGGGGUUAUGGUUGCAUGUUUGAAGGGUAGAGAGAAUGUGCCAAAGGAGAGGGAGAGAUUGAAAAUUUUAGUGAGAGGCAGUAUAAGAGAAGGAGAUAAAGUGCGGACGAGAUACAAGGGAACAGAAUCGAG